GACGAACGCUGGCGGCGUGCUUAACACAUGCAAGUCGAACGGAAAGGCCCUGCUUUUGUGGGGUGCUCGAGUGGCGAACGGGUGAGUAACACGUGAGUAACCUGCCCUUGACUUUGGGAUAACUUCAGGAAACUGGGGCUAAUACCGGAUAGGAGCUCCUGCUGCAUGGUGGGGGUUGGAAAGUUUCGGCGGUUGGGGAUGGACUCGCGGCUUAUCAGCUUGUUGGUGGGGUAGUGGCUUACCAAGGCUUUGACGGGUAGCCGGCCUGAGAGGGUGACCGGCCACAUUGGGACUGAGAUACGGACCAGAGUCCUACGGGAGGCAGCAGUGGGGAAUAUUGCACAAUGGGCGGAAGCCUGAUGCAGAAACGCCGCGUGCGGGAUGACGGCCUUCGGGUUGUAAACCGCUUUCGCCUGUGACGAAGCGUGAGUGACGGUAAUGGGUAAAGAAGCACCGGCUAACUACGUG
rnacentral:rRNA from 1 species